GCUGACUCUCUUUUCAGAUUCAGCCCAGUUGCACCCAAGUAAAAUAAACAGUCUUGUUGCUCACACAAAGCCUGUUGGUGGACUCUCUUCAUAUGGACUCAUGUGACAUUUGGUGCCGAAGACCUGAGACAGGAGGACUCCUUUGGGAGACCGGUCCCCUGUCCUCGCCCUCUCUCCAUGAGAUCCACCCAUGACCUCGGGUCCUCAGCCCAGCCGAAGGAACUUCUCACCAAUUUUAAAUCGGGGACGCAAAGCCAACAAGAAUGAAGAAGUGGCCAGCUGCCAAACAGGGAAGGGCCGCCUGUCCAGUGGAUACAUGACCCACAUGACCUUACCUAUCAUUGGAGAUGGCUCACACUGCUCACCCUGCCCCCUUGUCUUGUAUCCAAUAAAUAACAGCGCAGCCUGGCAUUCGGGGCCACUACUGGUCACUGUGUCUUGGUGGUAGUGGUUCCCCGGGCCCAGCUGUUUUUUCUUUUA
rnacentral:lncRNA from 1 species